GUUCUCUAAAUUUCACUUUAUUGUUUUUUUCUCUUCCUUGAGAAGCGUUGACGAGUGAAAUUUUAAGAGACAAAUCUUCAUCUUCAGAGAAAUUAUGAGAAAAUCCUUAAAUCAAAGUCGUUUCUUUUUAUUUUGUAGUGCUUGUGAUGACUUUGUAUUGUAAGUUUCUUUUUUUCCCCUCUUUUCCUUCUUAGGCCAUUUUCUUAUGUCUUUUUGUGGAUGAAGUUUUUCCAAAUUUUUGUAAUUAUUUUUGUAAUUUAGAUCAUGCUUGUUUGCGCGUUGAAAUAUAUUUGACAAAAACAUAACAAAAUUUUCUCGUUUGUCUCUCUUAAAAAUAAAAAAUAAAAACGGUGUCUCUUAAAAAUAAAAGGAUACUAUUGUUUUAACCUUGCUCCUUCAUCUUAUUAUUUUUUUUCUUCAUAAAAAGCUAGUUUAAAAAGAAUGAUCAAAGAAAUUUAGAGGAAUUAAUUUAUAAAUUUUAUAAAAUGUUCGAAGCUUUAAAAAUGAUUCAAGUUGUUUGAGUGUUGAAAUAUAUUUGACAAAAAGAUAACAAAAUUUUCUCUUUUGUCUCUCUUAAAAAUAAAAAAUAAAAAUGAUGUCUCUUAAAAAAAAGGAUACUAUUGUUUUAACCUUGCUCCUUCAUCUUAUUAUUUUUUUCCUUCAUAAAAAGCUAGUUUAAAAAGAAUGAUCAAAGAAAUUUAUAGGAAUUAAUUUAUUAGUUUUAUAAAAUGUUCGAAGCUUUGAAAAUGAUUCAAGUUGUAAGAGUGAAAAUACAAAUUUAUUUGAUCUAAGUGUAUUCAUGUAGUUUUGCAAACAUGGAAUCGCCCUUGUUUUCAUGACUUUGUGUAGUGGAAAAGGAGCAAUGAUGACCAAAAAGAUUUCAAGGAAAAAACAUCAAUUUUUGUUUUGUUCAAAGUUUUGUUCUUGAUAUUUAAAAAUUAAAGUUUUAAUUUUUUAUAGUAAAGAUUUCAACUUUACAUUAGUAUAUAAACAUUACAUUAUGGUGUUUUGUCAUACGAGUCAUGUUUGUUAUAUAAUAAUAUAUGUAUAUGCAUGCUCUGUUUAUCACUUUAUAUUAUGCUAUACAUGUUAAAUGCUAUUUAUUAGUUUCGGUUGAUAACCUUUUACAUUUUGUGUACCGGGAUAAAUGUCUCAAAUUAUUGUUUUCAUGACUUUGUGUAGUGAAAAAGAAGUAAUGAUGACCAAAGAGAUUUCAAGGAAAAAACAUCAACUUUUGUUUUGUUCAAAGCUUUGUUCUUGAUAUUUAAAAAUUAAAGUUUUAAUUUUUGAAAGUAAAGAUUUCAACUUUACAUUAGUAAAUAAACAUUACAUUAUGGUGUUUUGUCAUACGAGUCAUGUUUGUUAUAUAAUAACAUAUGUAUAUGCAUGCUCUAUUUAUCACUUUAUAUUAUGUCAUACUUGUUAAAUGCUAUUUAUUAGUUUCGGUUGGUAACCUUUUAAAUUUUGUGCAUCGGGAUGAACGUCUCAAAUUAUUAGGGUUUGUUUAUGCAGAAUUCUUGAUAACAACGAAGGCGUAACAAAGUCGCGGCCUUGAACGCCAAUACACCACAUACAACUUGAUUUAACUAGUGGGUCACUAAUACUCAAUAUCCUUGAGCGUGUUAUGAUGAGC
rnacentral:lncRNA from 1 species